rnacentral:rRNA from 1 species
CCUACGGGAGGCAGCAGUGGGGAAUAUUGGACAAUGGGCGAAAGCCUGAUCCAGCCAUGCCGCGUGUGUGAAGAAGGCCUUCGGGUUGUAAAGCACUUUCAGUGGGGAAGAAAGCCUUGGGGCUAAUACCCUCGAGGAAGGACAUCACCCACAGAAGAAGCACCGGCUAACUCCGUGCCAGCAGCCGCGGUAAUACGGAGGGUGCGAGCGUUAAUCGGAAUUACUGGGCGUAAAGCGCGCGUAGGUGGUCUGAUAAGCCGGUUGUGAAAGCCCCGGGCUCAACCUGGGAACGGCAUCCGGAACUGUCAGGCUAGAGUGCAGGAGAGGAAGGUAGAAUUCCCGGUGUAGCAGUGAAAUGCGUAGAGAUCGGGAGGAAUACCAGUGGCGAAGGCGGCCUUCUGGACUGACACUGACGCUGAGGUGCGAAAGCGUGGGUAGCAAACAGGAUUAGAUACCCCUGUAGUC